AAAUUGAAGAGUUUGAUCAUGGCUCAGAUUGAACGCUGGCGGCAGGCCUAACACAUGCAAGUCGAACGGUAACAGGAAGCAGCUUGCUGCUUUGCUGACGAGUGGCGGACGGGUGAGUAAUGUCUGGGAAACUGCCUGAUGGAGGGGGAUAACUACUGGAAACGGUGGCGAAUACCGCAUAACGUCGCAAGACCAAAGAGGGGGACCUUCGGGCCUCUUGCCAUCAGAUGUGCCCAGAUGGGAUUAGCUAGUUGGUGAGGUAACGGCUCACCAAGGCGACGAUCCCUAGCUGGUCUGAGAGGAUGACCAGCCACACUGGAACUGAGACACGGUCCAGACUCCUACGGGAGGCAGCAGUGGGGAAUAUUGCACAAUGGGCGCAAGCCUGAUGCAGCCAUGCCGCGUGUAUGAAGAAGGCCUUCGGGUUGUAAAGUACUUUCAGCGGGGAGGAAGGUGUUGUGGUUAAUAACCGCAGCAAUUGACGUUACCCGCAGAAGAAGCACCGGCUAACUCCGUGCCAGCAGCCGCGGUAAUACGGAGGGUGCAAGCGUUAAUCGGAAUUACUGGGCGUAAAGCGCACGCAGGCGGUCUGUCAAGUCGGAUGUGAAAUCCCCGGGCUCAACCUGGGAACUGCAUUCGAAACUGGCAGGCUUGAGUCUUGUAGAGGGGGGUAGAAUUCCAGGUGUAGCGGUGAAAUGCGUAGAGAUCUGGAGGAAUACCGGUGGCGAAGGCGGCCCCCUGGACAAAGACUGACGCUCAGGUGCGAAAGCGUGGGGUAGCAAACAGCAUUAGAUGCCCUGGUAGUCCACGCCGUAAACGAUGUCUACUUGGAGGUUGUGCCCUUGAGGCGUGGCUUCCGGAGCUAACGCGUUAAGUAGACCGCCUGGGGAGUACGGCCGCAAGGUUAAAACUCAAAUGAAUUGACGGGGGCCCGCACAAGCGGUGGAGCAUGUGGUUUAAUUCGAUGCAACGCGAAGAACCUUACCUGGUCUUGACAUCCACAGAACUUUCCAGAGAUGGAUUGGUGCCUUCGGGAACUGUGAGACAGGUGCUGCAUGGCUGUCGUCAGCUCGUGUUGUGAAAUGUUGGGUUAAGUCCCGCAACGAGCGCAACCCUUAUCCUUUGUUGCCAGCGGUUAGGCCGGGAACUAACAGGAGACUGCCAGUGAUAAACUGGCGGAAGGUGGGGAUGACGUCAAGUCAUCAUGGCCCUUAAGACCAGGGCUACACACGUGCUACAAUGGCGCAUACAAAGAGAAGCGACCUCGCGAGAGCAAGCGGACCUCAUAAAGUGCGUCGUAGUCCGGAUUGGAGUCUGCAACUCGACUCCAUGAAGUCGGAAUCGCUAGUAAUCGUGGAUCAGAAUGCCACGGUGAAUACGUUCCCGGGCCUUGUACACACCGCCCGUCACACCAUGGGAGUGGGUUGCAAAAGAAGUAGGUAGCUUAACCUUCGGGAGGGCGCUUACCACUUUGUGAUUCAUGACUGGGGUGAAGUCGUAACAAGGUAACCGUAGGGGAACCUGCGGUUGGAUCACCUCCUUACCUGAAAGAA
rnacentral:rRNA from 1 species